rnacentral:misc_RNA from 1 species
CCGGAUGUUGAGCAGUGUGGAAUCAACUGUUAAAAAGAGAAAUCUGAACACCUCCAAAUCCUCAUUAAGGAGCUAGGAUCAUAAAAGUGGCAAAGAGAAACGAAUAGGAGAAUGGCUACCAGCUAAACAAGAUCACUGGUUCUAGAUCCUAUCCGCUCUUCCAUUAUCCCCCUGACACAACAGUUUCACAGAUCACGUGCUACCCAACGUGGACAAUCCUUUAUCUUCCUCUUUGCAUGUAAAUCGGUAACGUGUCCGAGCAAGUCCCUGCAUGGGUCAACACCAUCCUUAUCAUCGUCCCCCUCGACCGGAUUUUGCCACGUUUAAGACAGAAGAAAAAGUGAAAUCAGUUGAGUUUGCCGCACAAAGAUCUUCAAUGGCUGUCACCGAAGAGCCCAUUCUCUCAAGAUUGGACCGUUUGGACACAUGUUGAGGGAGCUAGAAGAAAUUAGAGGUAGCUGCAACAGAUCACCAAAGAGCUCAUGUGAAUCGAUCGCAUCAAGUGGGACACUUGCAAGUGAAGGCCAAAUGUAAUCCAUUGAUUUUUCCCCAAGGAGUACUCUAGAGAAGCACUGCCGUCCUAUCAACCGUGUGAUGAUGGAGACUGAAAUCAAAGGCACACUCGUUGAGGGACUUGACCAUGCAGAGGAACGUUUACUAAAACUGUGUAUCCAGUUGGAGGACGAACUUGAGGCUGAGAAGAAAAGGGAAGAGAAGACUGAUAAGAGGGAGAAGAAGGGCUUAAAAGGACUUGUUAAAAACAUGGUUAAGGGAAAGAACCACCAUAAAACAAAGGAUUGAAGUGUUUUUCAUCUUCUUUCUUUAAUUUCUUUUUAUGUUCUUGAAGCUUUUACAGCUUUUCUUGUGAAUUUCUACCUCCUUUUUUGGGUUUCUCUUUAUGUAUAUAUGAAAUGGUAGGAAGAUAAUUAAUCAUCCCAAAGAAUGAGAUUAGAUAAAGAAAAUCGAUGCGAAAGG